rnacentral:rRNA from 1 species
AAUAUUGUACAAUGGGGGCAACCCUGAUCCAGCCAUGUCGCGUGUGUGAAGAAGGUCUUCGGAUUGUAUAGCACUUUUAGUUGUGGGGAAGGGCUUUAGGCUAGUACCCUGAAGUUUUGAUGUUACCAACAGAAUAAGCACCGUCUAACGCUGUGCCAGCAGCCGCGGUAAUACAGAGGGUGCAAGCGUUAAUCGGAAUUACUGGGCGUAAAGCGCGCGUAGGUGGUUCAGUAAGAUGGGUGUGAAAUCCCCGGGCUUAACCUGGGAACUGCUUUCAUAACUGCUGAGCUAGAGUACGGUAGAGGGUAGUGGAAUUUCCUGUGUAGCGGUGAAAUGCGUAGAUAUAGGAAGGAACACCAGUGGCGAAGGCGACUACCUGGACUGAUACUGACACUGAGGUGCGAAAGCGUGGGGAGCAAACAG